rnacentral:rRNA from 1 species
CGCCCAAGCCCUCUCACACAUCCAUCUCACCCCUUUGUGCAUCACCGCGUGGGCCCCCCUUUGCAGGAGGGCUUGCGUUUUCACAUAAAACUUGAUACAGUGUAGAAUGUUUUUUUUCUUCUUUUGCGGUCACACGCAAUCAAUACAACUUUCAACAACGGAUCUCUUGGCUCUCGCAUCGAUGAAGAACGCAGCGAAAUGCGAUACGUAAUGUGAAUUGCAGAAUUCAGUGAAUCAUCGAAUCUUUGAACGCACCUUGCGCCCCUUGGCAUUCCGAGGGGCACACCCGUUUGAGUGUCGUGAAUUCAUCAAAACCUUUUCUUUGAUCCUUUUCGGUCAGGAAAAGGAUUUUUGGACUUGGAGGUUCUAUGCUUGCUUUCGCUUAUGAAAGUGAGCUCCUCUCAAAUGAAUUAGUGGGGUCUGCUUUGCUGAUCCUUGAUGUGAUAAGAUGUUUCUACAUUUUGGAUUUAGCACUGUCCCUUGGACACCUGCUCCUAACUGUCCCUUGGACAAUGAUGGUGCUUCGGUUGCCGCCAUCUACAUUGGCGGGGGCCGGACCCACCAAAAAAAAAA